UGCUGCACUUGUUAACUUGGGUUACUGUUGCCAUCACGACCCGCAGAAUCAUGAAAUCAUCGUUCUACUUUGCUAGGAACCAAAAACUCAUUUUGAAGACUCAUUUAGAAAUACAGCAAGUGAAAGAUGACCCAAAGGCCAUACUGCUCUUCCAGACCUCCUCUCUCCAGUCGUGAAAAUCAUCUGAGCUUUGACCAUCGGGCGAAAGAGUCUACAAGCCAGGGGCAGUCGACGAAGGGAAGGCACGGAGGGGAGCAAAGAGGUCUGCCGGGGCUCAGGAGCCCCAGCUGUGAUGCCUAAAGCAGAUAAAAGGCGCUCGUUUUGAAUCGUGAGGAAUCAAGCAGCAGGAAAGGCAGGAGCAGCAGAUGAGGACAGAGCAGCAUUCAAGAAGGAAGCGGCACUGGAGCAGGAGAAGAAGGAACAACAGAGCAGGAAGCACUCGAAGCAGCAGACUCGGAAGCAGAGAGGGAAGUGGCGUAUGGAGGAGGCUCACAGCGUCAGUAUCGCCAGGAACUUCUCCCGGCCUUCUGCCGUGGGAUCGACCGAACGGGCUCCCUGGACCAGCAGACUGGUACUGGACCCUUGGUGGAGUAUGUGUCAUUCCCUUGCACAUGGUAAAACUAAGUUUAAAAA